rnacentral:piRNA from 1 species
UCCAACUGCUCCACGACACAGAGCCGGGCA